rnacentral:rRNA from 1 species
GACGAACUCUGGCGGCGUGCUUAACACAUGCAAGUCGAACGGAGUGGCGAACGGGUGAUUAACACGUGGGUGACCUGCCCUGCACUUCGGGAUAAUCCUUGGAAACUGGGUCUAUUACCGCCUAUUGUGGGAUGGGCCCGCGGCCUAUCCGCUUGUUGGUGGGGUAAUGUCCUACCACGGCGGCGACGGGUCGCCUGCCUGCGAGGGUGGACGGCCACAUUGGGACUGAGACACGGCCCAGACUGCUACGGGGGGCAGCAGUGGGGAAUAUGGCACAAGGGGCGGAAGCCUGAUGCAGCGGCGCCGGGGGGGGGAUGACGGCCGUCGGGUUGUAAACUCCUUUCACCGUAGAAGCGGUAGAUGGAGAAGAAGCACCGGCUAACUACGUGCCAGCAGCCGCGGUAAUAC